rnacentral:rRNA from 1 species
AACGAACGCUGGCGGCAUGCCUAACACAUGCAAGUCGAACGAGACGGCCCGGUCUUUGGGCGGACCGCUACGUAACGCGUGGGGAGCUGCCCUUGGGUUCGCAAUAACUGCCCGAGAGGGAUGCUAAUGCCACAGAAGGUCUUCGGACCAAAGAUUUAUUGCCGUUGGAUGGGCGCGCGUUGGAUUCGGUGGUUGGUAGGGUAAAAGCAUCUCAAGGCGACGAUCCAUAGCUGGUCUGAGAGGAUGAUACGCCAGACUGGGACUCAGACACGGCCUAGAAGGGUACGGAAGGGAGCAGUGGGGAAUACUGGAAGCUGGGGCAAGGCAUGAUCACGCCAUGCCGGGUAAGUGAUGCAGGCGUUAGGGUUGUAAUGCUCUCUUAGCCGAGAUGAUAAUGACGGUACCGGGUGAAUAAGCUCCGGCUAACUACGUG